rnacentral:rRNA from 1 species
GCCUGACUGCGAGACUGACAAGUCGAGCAGAGACGAAAGUCGGUCAUAGUGAUCCGGUGGUCCCGAGUGGAAGGGCCAUCGCUCAACGGAUAAAAGGUACGCCGGGGAUAACAGGCUGAUACUGCCCAAGAGUCCAUAUCGACGGCAGUGUUUGGCACCUCGAUGUCGGCUCAUCUCAUCCUGGGGCUGGAGCAGGUCCCAAGGGUACGGCUGUUCGCCGUUUAAAGAGGUACGUGAGCUGGGUUUAGAACGUCGUGAGACAGUUCGGUCCCUAUCUGCCGUGGGCGUUGGAAAUUUGAGAAGAGCUGCUCCUAGUACGAGAGGACCGGAGUGAACGAACCCCU